GAAACUGCGAACGGCUCAUUACACCAGCCUUAAUUUACUUGACCUUGACACCCUACUUGGAUAACUGUGGUAAUUCUAGAGCUAAUACAUGCACCAAAGCUCCAAUCUCCCCAGAGCGGAGCGCAUUUGUUCGCCACAAAACCAAGCGCCUCAGGGCGUUCAGUGUUGACUCAGAACAACUAAGCUGAUCGCACGGUCUUGCACCGGCGACGUGUCUUUCAAGUGUCUGCCUUAUCAACUUUCGAUGGUAGUGUAUCUGACUACCAUGGUGAUGACGGGUAACGGAGGAUAAGGGUUCGACUCCGGAGAAGGGGCCUGAGAAAUGGCCACUACGUCUAAGGAUGGCAGCAGGCGCGCAAAUUACCCACUCUCGACGCGAGGAGGUAGUGACGAGAAAUAACGAGACCGUUCUCAUCUGAGGCCGGUCAUCGGAAUGGGUACAAUUUAAACCCUUUAACGAGUAUCUAUGAGAGGGCAAGUCUGGUGCCAGCAGCCGCGGUAAUUCCAGCUCUCAAAAUGCAUAGAAUUAUUGCUGCGGUUAAAAAGCUCGUAGUUGGAUCUGUGCUGAGCGACCGGUCUGCCCACUGGGCACGCACUGGCUCGCCCGGCUUUCCCUGCCGGUCUCUCUCUGGCGUUGGUUUUAACCGGCUGGCGUCAGUGGGCUGGCGAGUUUACUUUGAACAAAUCAGAGUGCUUCAAACAGGCGUCUCGCCUGAAUGUUCGUGCAUGGAAUAAUAGAAGAGGAUCACGGUCCGAUUUUAUUGGUUUUGCUGACCGAGAUAAUGGUUAACAGAGACAAACGGGGCCAUUCGUAUUGCUACGUGAGAGGUGAAAUUCUUGGACCGUAGCAAGACGGACUACAGCGAAAGCAUUUGGCAAGAAUGUCUUCAUUAAUCAAGAACGAAAGUCAGAGGUUCGAAGGCGAUCAGAUACCGCCCUAGUUCUGACCGUAAACGAUGCCAACUAGCGAUCCGCCGGCGGAUUCAUUCGCCCUGGUGGGGAGCUUCCCGGAAACGAAAGUCUUCCGGUUCCGGGGGAAGUAUGGUUGCAAAGCUGAAACUUAAAGGAAUUGACGGAAGGGCACCACCAGGAGUGGAGCCUGCGGCUUAAUUUGACUCAACACGGGGAAACUCACCCGGCCCGGACACCGUAAGGAUUGACAGAUUGAUAGCUUUUUCAUGAUUCGGUGGAUGGUGGUGCAUGGCCGUUCUUAGUUCGUGGAGCGAUUUGUCUGGUUUAUUCCGAUAACGAGCGAGACUCUGGCCUACUAAAUAGUUGGCACAUUGCCACCGUGUGCCCAACUUCUUAGAGGGAUUUUCGGUGUUCAGCCGCACGAAAUUGAGCAAUAACAGGUCUGUGAUGCCCUUAGAUGUCCGGGGCUGCACGCGCGCUACACUGGCAAAAUCAGCGUGCUUGUCCUCCCCCGAAAGGGGUUGGUAAACCGAUGAAAAUUUGCCGUGAUUGGGAUCGGACAUUGCAAUUAUUGUCCGUGAACGAGGAAUCCCUUGUAAGGGCGAGUCAUCAACUCGUCCUGAAUACGUCCCUGCCCUUUGUACACACCGCCUCGCUGCCCGGGACUGAGCCAUUUCGAGAAAACCGGGGAUUGUUGGCCUGACGGCUCUCGGGUCGUCUAGCCGAUGAGAACCGGCUUAAUCGCACUGGUUUGAACCGGGCAAAAGUCGUAACAAGGUAGCUGGUAGGUGAACCUGCAGCUGGAUCA
rnacentral:rRNA from 1 species